rnacentral:lncRNA from 1 species
AUUUUUUGUGCAGGUAGUGGCUGAACAUAUUACUUCUUAUAGAGUUGUGAACAAUUUGGGAAUUUAGAAGUCAGGUAGGACUCUACCUUUCUUGGCCGACACCUACUCUCUCAUGUUGUGCAGUCUUCUUCCUCUUCUCUCUUUUUAGUUUCCUUCUUCUACUCAUCUUCGACAUUAUUCCUCUCUUUUUCUUCUCAAGGUGCAGUCAUGCAAGGCUCUUCUUCUUUGCUACAGAUUAGGGAAAUAACUUUAGAAACUAAAAGAUGGCUUGUGACAAGGAGAAUCUUUAUCUGGUUUGGUGUGUAUCUGCUGUAGGAGUUCUCUUCCCUUUGACUUCUUCAUCUCGUCUUUCUCUUAUGUUAUUCCCUAAUUGUUUGCUUUUGUUUUGUAGGUAGUCAAAGUCCAUUAGGAGAGCUCAAGCCUUCCUUAAAGAGAAACACAACCUAAGCUUUCUUAAUUUGGUGCAGUUCUUACACAGGUGAACAAUUCUACACCUCCAUGUUCUCAGUCAUGCUCUUCCCAAGUCAGAAUCAGGUAUUGUCGAUGUUCUUAUUUUUUUGGACUUGAUCUUACAUCUUCUUGGGCUUCAAGUUCAGCUUGUUAGUUGAUCUAGCUUCAAAUAAGAAGAUUGAAAGUUAUUUGGAUGCUUUUGGCGUGGGAUCGGGUAAUAGGUCCCUCCGGGACUUGACUCUUUCUUCCUGCUUCUCCCCAACUAUUUUCUUAGUCUUUCGGGUAAACGUCAUUUUUUGUGUCUCUUAUGUCCAGGUACAUCAACCCCCUCCCCCUUCUUUGAUAGGAUUCGUCCUUGAAUUGCCACUUACAUAAGAAAAAGAUCAAAAAUAUUGAAUGU